rnacentral:lncRNA from 1 species
CCUUCAGUGCAUGGUGGACCAGCCGCUCGAUCCAUAAAAUCAAGAGCACAAUCCACAAGCACAGUUACACAGUCUUUGUCACGGCUCAUGGCAGCUAAAUAUUUUUUGCACGAUCGGAUGGUUGAAAUCGCACCAAAUACACGAUCGGACGGCUAAAAAGAAGCUUUACCAUAUCAAUCGGUGAUGGUCCAUAACAGCUGUGCGAUCCAAUGAUUAAGAGCGAUCCUGAGCGAGAUUCGAUGGUUUGUGUUCGUUGUCGGCUGAGAACUAAAUUGGAAGAGACUUCUUGGUGCCAUCCAAUGGUCCAAAACCAAUCUGAAGCCCGAUUCGAGGCUGACAGCGAUCUCGACUAUGAAUAGGAGAUCAAGGGCACAAUCCAAUGAUCCAGAAUCGAUCCGGUGAUUGAUCUAAUGGCCAACAUUGAUCCCGAUCGAGAUGAGGAGUUUAAUGGUGAUUUUUGAUGCGAUCU